rnacentral:rRNA from 1 species
UUCACGGUAUUGCAAUGAGAACAAUUUAAAACCCUUAGCGAGAGUCAAGUGGAGGACAAGUCUGGUGCCAGCACCCGCGGUAAUUCCAGCUCCACUAGCGUAUAUUAAAGUUGUUGCAGUUAAAAAGCUCGUAGUUGAACCUCUGUCUGGGGCUAGUUUUGGCUUUGGUCAGGCUAGUUCUAGGCAUCCGCCUACAAGACUUAGAGGGCAUUCAGUUGCUCACUAGGAGGAGUAGGCAUUUUACUUUGAAAAAAUUAGAGUGUUUAAGGCAGGCAAUCGCCCGCAUAUAUUAGCAUGGAAUAAUAGAAUAGGACACUUUUCCAUUUCGUUGGUUAUUGGAAUCGUGUAAUGAUUAAUAGGGACAGUUGUGGGCAUUUGUAUUUAAUUGUCAGAGGUGAAAUUCUUGGAUUUAUUAAAGACAAACUAACGCGAAAGCAUUUGCCAAGGAUGUUUUCAUUAAUCAAGAACGAAAGUUAGGGGAUCAAAGACGAUCAGAUACCGUCCUAGUCUUAACUAUAAACUAUUCCGACUCAAUGUUUGACUGGCUUAUAUAACCAGUUGAGCGUUGUAUGAGAAAUCAAAGUCUUUAGGUUCUGGGGGGAGUAUGGUUGCAAAGCUGAAACUUAAAGGAAUUGACGGAAGAGCACAACCAGGAGUGGAUUCUGCGGCUUAACUUGACUCAACACGGGGAAACUACCAGGUUAAAACAAUAGUGGGAUUGACAGUUUGAGAGCGCUUUCUUGAUUGGUUGGGUGGUGGUGCAUGGCCGUUCUUAGUUGGUGGAGUGAUUUGUCUGCUUAAUUGCGUUAACGAACGAGACCUUAACCUGCUUACUAGACUGGCGAUCAUCAAUCGUUAGCUCUUCUUAGAGGGACUUUGGUUGUUUUAACUCCAAGGAAGUUUGAGGCAAUAACAGGUCUGUGAUGCCCUUAGAUAUCCUGGGCCGCACGCGUCAUACAAUGACUAGUUCAGAAAGUUUUCUCCUGACCCGAAAGGGGAUGGGUAAUCUUGAUAAUACUAGUCGUGUUAGGGAUCGAUCUUUGCAAUUAUAGAUCUUGAACGAGGAAUUCCUAGUAAGUGCGGUUCAUCAGACCGUACUGAUUACGUCCCUGCUCCUUGUACACACCGCCCGUCGCUUCUACCGAGUGGGUGGUCCGGUGAGAUAAUUGAACUUCGCAGGUAACUGAGAGGAAAGAUUAUCAAACCUAUCCACCU